AGUGAACGCUGGCGGUAGGCCUAACACAUGCAAGUCGAACGGCAGCACAGUAAGAGCUUGCUCUUACGGGUGGCGAGUGGCGGACGGGUGAGGAAUACAUCGGAAUCUACUUUUUCGUGGGGGAUAACGUAGGGAAACUUACGCUAAUACCGCAUACGACCUACGGGUGAAAGCAGGGGAUCUUCGGACCUUGCGCGAUUGAAUGAGCCGAUGUCGGAUUAGCUAGUUGGCGGGGUAAAGGCCCACCAAGGCGACGAUCCGUAGCUGGUCUGAGAGGAUGAUCAGCCACACUGGAACUGAGACACGGUCCAGACUCCUACGGGAGGCAGCAGUGGGGAAUAUUGGACAAUGGGCGCAAGCCUGAUCCAGCCAUACCGCGUGGGUGAAAAAGGCCUUCGGGUUGUAAAGCCCUUUUGUUGGGAAAGAAAAGCAGCAGGUUAAUACCCCGCUGUUCUGACGGUACCCAAAGAAGAAGCACCGGCUAACUUCGU
rnacentral:rRNA from 1 species